rnacentral:snoRNA from 2 species
AUGGCCUUACCUGAACAGCAUCUGUUCUAUUGGCUCAUACUACUAUAUCCUUGAGUUCUGAGGAAACAUGAAAGUAGGACACCAAGUCUGGUUGAUGAAGCAUGGUCAUGUGACUAGAGCGUGAUUCACAGCCUCCUUCCAUGGCUCCUAGUUGUGUGGGGCAGUAGUAGAUGAUCGUUCUUAGACCUCCUCUCAGGUCUUAGAUGGUCUCAUGGCUGUCUGACAGACU